rnacentral:rRNA from 1 species
GAUGAACGCUAGCGGCAGGCUUAAUACAUGCAAGUCGAGGGGCAGCAUGUCCCGCAGCAAUGCGGGAUGAUGGCGACCGGCAAACGGGUGCGGAACACGUACAGAACCUUCCUUCGAGCGGGGAAUAGCCCAGAGAAAUUUGGAUUAAUACCCCAUAGUAAAUUGAAAAGGCAUCUUUUUAAUUUUAAAGAUUUAUCACUUGAAGAUGGCUGUGCGGCUGAUUAGGUAGUUGGAGGGGUAACGGCCCACGAAGCCUGCGAUAAGUAACUGGUGUGAGAGCACGAGCAGUGAGACGGGAAGGGGGACACGUGCCCGAGUACUACGGGAGGCAGCAGUAGGGAAUAUUGGGCAAUGGACGCAAGUCUGACGCAGCCAGGCCGCGUGGAGGAUGAAGGUCCUCUGGAUUGUAAACAUCUUUUAUAUGGGACGAAAAAAGGGCUUUCUAGCUCACUUGACGGUACCAUAUGAAUAAGCACCGGCUAACUCCGUGCCAGCAGCCGCGGUAAAAC